GGGGAGUGGGGAGUAAGGCACAGGGAUUAAGGAACAUAAGUGGUGGGUACAAAAUAGACAGGCAGAUGUUAAGAAUAGUAUAGGAAAUGAAGAAGCCAAAGA